rnacentral:ncRNA from 1 species
ACUUCGGAGAAGCUCGGGAAAACCGAGUGCCGAAGGGGCAAGGCGCAAGCCGAAACUCUCAGGCAAAAGGACGAAGA